CCUACGGGAGGCAGCAGUAGGGAAUCUUCCACAAUGGGCGAAAGCCUGAUGGAGCAACGCCGCGUGGGUGAAGAAGGUCUUCGGAUCGUAAAACCCUGUUGUUAGAGAAGAAAGUGCGUGAGAGUAACUGUUCACGUUUCGACGGUAUCUAACCAGAAAGCCACGGCUAACUACGUGCCAGCAGCCGCGGUAAUACGUAGGUGGCAAGCGUUAUCCGGAUUGAUUGGGCGUAAAGGGAACGCAGGCGGUCUUUUAAGUCUGAUGUGAAAGCCUUCGGGUUAACCGGAGUAGUGCAUUGGAAACUGGGAGACUUGAGUGCAGAAGAGGAGAGUGGAACUCCAUGUGUAGCGGUGAAAUGCGUAGAUAUAUGGAAGAACACCAGUGGCGAAAGCGGCUCCCUGGUCUGUAACUGACGCUGAGGUUCGAAAGCGUGGGUAGCAAACAGGAUUAGAUACCCCUGUAGUC
rnacentral:rRNA from 1 species